AUUGAGCGCUGGCGGCAUGCCUUACACAUGCAAGUCGAACGGUAACAGGUUAAGCUGACGAGUGGCGAACGGGUGAGUAAUGUAUCGGAACGUGCCCAGUCGUGGGGGAUAACUACUCGAAAGAGUGGCUAAUACCGCAUACGACCUGAGGGUGAAAGCGGGGGACCGUGAGGCCUCGCGCGAUUGGAGCGGCCGAUAUCAGAUUAGCUAGUUGGUGGGGUAAAAGCCCACCAAGGCGACGAUCUGUAGCUGGUGUGAGAGGACGACCAGCCACACUGGGACUGAGACACGGCCCAGACUCCUACGGGAGGCAGCAGUGGGGAAUUUUGGACAAUGGACGCAAGUCUGAUCCAGCCAUGCCGCGUGCGGGAAGAAGGCCUUCGGGUUGUAAACCGCUUUUGUCAGGGAAGAAACGAGUUUCUCUAAUACAGAGACUUAAUGACGGUACCUGAAGAAUAAGCACCGGCUAACUACGUGCCAGCAGCCGCGGUAAGAC
rnacentral:rRNA from 1 species